GACGAACGCUGGCGGCGUGCUUAACACAUGCAAGUCGAACGGAAAGGCCCUGCUUUUGUGGGGUGCUCGAGUGGCGAACGGGUGAGUAACACGUGAGUAACCUGCCCUUGACUUUGGGAUAACUUCAGGAAACUGGGGCUAAUACCGGAUAGGAGCUCCUGCUGCAUGGUGGGGGUUGGAAAGUUUCGGCGGUUGGGGAUGGACUCGCGGCUUAUCAGCUUGUUGGUGGGGUAGUGGCUUACCAAGGCUUUGACGGGUGGCCGGCCUGAGAGGGUGACCGGCCACAUUGGGACUGAGAUCCGGCCCAGACUCCUACGGGAGGCAGCAGUGGGGAAUAUUGCACAAUGGGCGGAAGCCUGAUGCAGCAACGCCGGGUGCGGGAUGACGGCCUUCGGGUUGUAAACCGCUUUCGCCUGUGACGAAGCGUGAGUGACGGUAAUGGGUAAAGAAGCACCGGCUAACUACGUGCCAGCCGCCGCGGUAA
rnacentral:rRNA from 1 species